GAUGAACGCUGGCGGCGUGCCUAAUACAUGCAAGUCGAGCGAACAGACGAGGAGCUUGCUCCUCUGAUGUUAGCGGCGGACGGGUGAGUAACACGUGGAUAACCUACCUAUAAGACUGGGAGAACUUCGGGAAACCGGAGCUAAUACCGGAUAACAUGUUGAACCGCAUGGUUCAACAGUGAAAGACGGUCUUGCUGUCACUUAUAGAUGGAUCCGCGCCGCAUUAGCUAGUUGGUAAGGUAACGGCUUACCAAGGCAACGAUGCGUAGCCGACCUGAGAGGGUGAUCGGCCACACUGGAACUGAGACACGGUCCAGACUCCUACGGGAGGCAGCAGUAGGGAAUCUUCCGCAAAGGGCGAAAGCCUGACGGAGCAACGCCGCGUGAGUGAAGAAGGUCUUCGGAUCGUAAAACUCUGUUAUUAGGGAAGAACAAAUGUGUAAGUAACUAUGCACGUCUUGACGGUACCUAAUCAGAAAGCCACGGCUAACUACGCG
rnacentral:rRNA from 1 species